CUUGGGAUGUUGAUUGUCCAUACUUGGGAUACUUUGAUGAGAACAGAAAGUUUGAGUUUCUUUCGGCUGCAAAAUUGAAUCUGGAAGACAUAUUCACCAUUUCAAAGAACAGGUGGUCUGUCCUUUAUUUGAGACAAAUUUUGGAGUCCCGCGGAUGCCUGCUAGGAACCUUUAGAUGCGAUGAAGGCCUCUUGAGCUACAAAUUUCCUAAGGUAUAUUCUCUUACAAAAACGAAAGGAACUAUUAGUAGACAUUGCGUAUUAAUUGUUGGUGUGGGAAAGAAUGAACAAGGAGAACAAUAUUUAGAAAUUCAAACCUCGUACGGAAGUAGCUGGGGGAACAAAGGAUUUGGCUUCAUCAGUUUUGAAACUCUUUGUAUUCAGGGCAUCAAAAGGGUUCAUA